GAUGAAGAACGUAGCGAAAUGCGAUAAGUAAUGUGAAUUGCAGAAUCCAGUGGAUCAUCGAAUCUUUGAACGCACAUUGCGCCCGCCAGCAUUCUGGCGGGCAUGCCUGUUCGAGCGUCAUUUCAACCCUCGACCUCCCUUUGGGGAAGUCGGCGUUGGGGACCGGCAGCACACCGCCGGCCCUGAAAUGGAGUGGCGGCCCGUCCGCGGCGACCUCUGCGUAGUAAUCCAACUCGCACCGGAACCCCGACGCGGCCACGCCGUAAAACACCCAACUUCUGAACGUUGACCUCGAAUCAGGUAGGACUACCCGCUGAACUUAAGCAUAUCAAUAAGCGGAGGA
rnacentral:misc_RNA from 1 species